rnacentral:rRNA from 1 species
CCUACGGGUGGCAGCAGUGGGGAAUAUUGGGCAAUGGGCGCAAGCCUGACCCAGCAACGCCGCGUGAAGGAAGAAGGCUUUCGGGUUGUAAACUUCUGUCAAGAGGGAAGAGCAGAAGACGGUACCUCUUGAAUAAGCCACGGCUAACCACGGGCCAGCAGCCGCGGUAAUACGUAGGUGGCAAGCGUUGUCCGGAUUUACUGGGUGUAAAGGGCGUGCAGCCGGGAAUACAAGUCAGAUGUGAAAUCCUGCGGCUCAACCGCGGAACUGCAUUUGAAACUGUUUUUCUUGAGUACCGGAGAGGUCAUCGGAAUUCCUUGUGUAGCGGUGAAAUGCGUAGAGAUAAGGAAGAACACCAGUGGCGAAGGCGAUUGACUGGACGGCAACUGACGGUGAGGCGCGAAAGCGUGGGGAGCAAACAGGAUUAGAUACCCGGGUAGUC